rnacentral:lncRNA from 10 species
CAGCGAGCCCUGAUCGUGCCACCGCACUCCAGCUGGGCGACAGUGAGUCCCUGUCUCACAAAAUAAAAGCAAAUAGAAAGUGUACGGUUCUAUGGUUUUAGUAUAUUCACAGAUACGUACAAUCACCUUGGCCCAGUUGGGCUCUAGAAUAAAGUAACCAUAGACCGGAUGCCUCGUCAACCACAGAAACCAAUCCUUCACAGUUCUGGAGGCUGGAAGUCCAAGAUGAAGGCGCCCACAGUUUCUGCGUGGUGAGGGCCACCUCCUGGUUCACAGAAGCGCCUCCUCGCUGUGCGGUCAUGUGACGGAGGCCGGAAGGCAGGUCCCACAGCCUCUGGGGAAGGAGAGCCCAGAGUAGCUGAGGAACUGGGGUGCCCACACCAGCCUGCUGGGGGCUUCAAAUGUUCUUUUAGGAGUGACAAGGGAAUCGACCUGCCCAGCUCUGCAGCCCUGGGGGCCACAGAGGACCGGGGCACAGCCGGCGCCUCUGCUCAGGGCUCCGGCCUCCAUCUCUGGGAGCGAGCACCCGUGGAUGCCUCACUCCACCCAGGGUCACUGUCGCGCAGCAGCAGCUUUCCAGAAGGCAGCCGGCCAUUGACGAGUGACCAGGCGGAGACGGUGAAGGCCAGAAGUUCCUCCAGAGGCCGCGUGCCAGCCCCUCGCCUGUGAGGGGGGCCUGGGUCUCCGGGCUCCCCAGGACGGUGCUUCCUCUUGCAGCUGGGCCUGGAGGCCGGAGAGGGUCAUGUGAGCCCUCCUGGGCGGGCGGUGCCUCUACGGCUGUGACCUUGAGCAAGUCCCCCUCCUCUCAGGUCUCGGUUUCCUAGGACAUGGAGUGGGGACGGAGGUGGUUCCUCACCUCACGAGAUUGCGGAGGCACGUGAAGCCGAUGGUCCUGAGCUUCUGGACAAGUGCCCAGCCCAGAGUAAGCGCUUAGCAAAUCCGAGUGAUUCGGCGGCACCACUGAGCCUCGGUUUCCUCAUCUGCAAGACAGGGUUACGCUUUCCUCACAGGGAGGAGGGUUCCGGGGGGUCAUCAGGCAAGGCCCUCAGCACAGAACCGCCAAUAGCUAACACCUAUUAUUGACCUUGUUGUAACAGGAUGAUAAAAUGGUUUUCUUGACUGGGCGCCACGGCUCAUGCCUGUAAUCCCACCACUUUGGGAGGCCAAGGCAGGAGGAUUACUUGAGCCCAGGAGUGGAGACCAGCCUGGGCAACAUAGUAAGACCCUGAUCUCUACAAAAAAUAGAAAAAAUUAGCCCAGCGUGAUGGGGCAUGCCUGUAAUCCCAGCUCCUCCGGAGGCUGAGUCAGGAGGAUUGCUUGAGCCCAGGAGUUCAAGGCUGCAGUGAGCUGUGAUUGCACCACUGCACUCCAGCCUGGGUCACACAGCGAGACCCGAUCCCUGCCCCACCCCCCACCGCCCAAAAAGCUUUUAUUUGCUGCCCCAAUUUUAGCUGAGACUUUGAGAGGACAAAACAAUACAAGGGGUGAGGUCCCCCACCCCACAGGCCAUCUUGCUGGACAUGCUUUGAGGCUGUGCAGCGCCGUGGCCGGCAUCUGUCCCGGGCCCACUUGGUAUAAAUGAGGCAGAUAGAUGAGGUGGGUGGAAGAAAGGCCCCUGGCCGAGCUGCUCAUGUGGACCACGUGUCCCUUGGAGGGUGGGCUGCCUCCUUCCUGGUUGCAGCCUGACCGAGGUGGGCAGCCAGUGCCUAAGGUUUGAUCCGUGUUAACCGCAAUCACUGUCAUUGGACUCAUCAUCAAAAGCAUAGGUGCGGCCGGGUGCGGUGGCUCACGCCUAUAAUCCC